UAGCCUUGACAUGCAAGUUGUAGAACCAUGAAAGUGGGACGACCCCGCAAGGGGAGCUUGCACAGGUGCUGCAUGGCUGUCGUCAGCUCGUGUCGUGAGAUGUUGGGUUAAGUCCCGCAACGAGCGCAACCCUUAUGUCCUGUUGCCACUCCUACGAGAGUAGGGAGCACUCUGGACAGACUGCCUCGCUUAAACGGGGAGGAAGGUGGGGAUGACGUUUCGCAACUAACCA
rnacentral:misc_RNA from 1 species